rnacentral:rRNA from 1 species
GCGAUUGGGACCCUUCCGAUUCCAAGAAGUGCCGCCGGUUUGCCAUCUAUCCCUUUGCCUUCUCUCUCUCACCAGGUUUAGGCUUAGGUUUCUCGAUGUAUUUCCGGUUAAUCUUUUUGGAGAGGUCAGCAUCAGCUACUCGGAAUUGAUUUCGUUCAAAGAAGGUAGGUUCCUUGUGGACCCUUAUAUCUUUGUUCUUUCCUUUUCCUUGUGGCUGAGGAGUGUUUUGGUUUCCGAGCUCCACUUUCGAGUACUCGGUUUCUGUGAUGCUGGCUUAAUCGGUUCCAACCGACCCGUCUUGAAACACGGACCAAGGAGUCUAACAUAUGUGCGAGUAUGCGGGUUUUACUCCUGUAUGCGCAAUGAAAGUGAGAGUAGGGAGAUUUUGGCUUUGCCAUUCUUCGCACCUACGACCGACCACGAUCUCUGAGAGAGGUUUGAGUUGGAGCAUAUCUGUUAGGACCCGAAAGAUGGUGAACUAUGCCUGAGUAGAAUGAAGUCAGGGGAAACCCUGAUGGAGGUUCGUAGCGAUACUGACGUGCAAAUCGUUCGUCAAACUUGGGUAUAGGGGCGAAAGACUAAU